GGAUCAGACUUUGAUUAUGGCUCACGAUGAACGCUAGCUACAGGCUUAACACAUGCAAGUCGAGGGGAAACGACAUCGAAAGCUUGCUUUUGAUGGGCGUCGACCGGCGCACGGGUGAGUAACGCGUAUCCAACCUGCCCACCACUUGGGGAUAACCUUGCGAAAGUAAGACUAAUACCCAAUGACGUCUCUAGAAGACACCUGAAAGAGAUUAAAGAUUUAUCGGUGAUGGAUGGGGAUGCGUCUGAUUAGCUUGUUGGCGGGGUAACGGCCCACCAAGGCUACGAUCAGUAGGGGUUCUGAGAGGAAGGUCCCCCACAUUGGAACUGAGACACGGUCCAAACUCCUACGGGAGGCAGCAGUGAGGAAUAUUGGUCAAUGGACGAGAGUCUGAACCAGCCAAGUAGCGUGCAGGAUGACGGCCCUAUGGGUUGUAAACUGCUUUUAUAAGGGAAUAAAGUGAGUCUCGUGAGACUCUUUGCAUGUACCUUAUGAAUAAGGACCGGCUAAUUCCGUGCCAGCAGCCGCGGUAAUACGGAAGGUCCGGGCGUUAUCCGGAUUUAUUGGGUUUAAAGGGAGCGUAGGCCGGAGAUUAAGCGUGUUGUGAAAUGUAGAUGCUCAACAUCUGCACUGCAGCGCGAACUGGUUUCCUUGAGUACGCACAAAGUGGGCGGAAUUCGUGGUGUAGCGGUGAAAUGCUUAGAUAUCACGAAGAACUCCGAUUGCGAAGGCAGCUCACUGGAGCGCAACUGACGCUGAAGCUCGAAAGUGCGGGUAUCGAACAGGAUUAGAUACCCUGGUAGUCCGCACGGUAAACGAUGGAUGGCCGCUGUUGGUCUGAAUAGGUCAGCGGCCAAGCGAAAGCAUUAAGCAUCCCACCUGGGGAGUACGCCGGCAACGGUGCAAC
rnacentral:rRNA from 1 species